rnacentral:rRNA from 1 species
UACAGAGGGUGCGAGCGUUGUUCGGAAUUAUUGGGCGUAAAGCGCGUGUAGGCGGUGGUGCAUGUCGGGUGUGAAAGCCCUCAGCUUAACUGAGGAAGUGCGCCCGAAACUGCAUCGCUGGAGUGCCGGAGAGGAAGGCGGAAUUCCCGGUGUAGAGGUGAAAUUCGUAGAUAUCGGGAGGAACACCAGUGGCGAAGGCGCCUUCUGGACGGACACUGACGCUGAGACGCGAAAAGCGUGGGUAGCAAACGAG